AAAUUGAAGAGUUUGAUCAUGGCUCAGAUUGAACGUUGGCGGCAGGCCUAACACAUGCAAGUCGAACGGUAACAGGAAGCAGCUUGCUGCUU
rnacentral:rRNA from 1 species